GAACGCACAUUGCGCCCCCUGGUAUUCCGGGGGGCAUGCCUGUCCGAGCGUCAUUGCUGCCCUCAAGCACGGCUUGUGUGUUGGGCUCCGUCCCCCCGGGGACGGGCCCGAAAGGCAGCGGCGGCACCGAGUCCGGUCCUCGAGCGUAUGGGGCUUUGUCACCCGCUCUGUAGGCCCGGCCGGCGCCAGCCGACAACCCAUCAUCCUUUUCAGGUUGACCUCGGAUCAGGUAGGGAUACCCGCUGAACUUAAG
rnacentral:misc_RNA from 1 species